rnacentral:tRNA from 1 species
GAAAAAUUUAGUUAAAAAAUAACGUUAACUUGUCAAGUUAAAAUCAUCUUGAGAUAAUUUUU